rnacentral:rRNA from 1 species
GAUGAACGCUGGCGGCGUGCCUAAUACAUGCAAGUCGAGCGAACAGACGAGGAGCUUGCUCCUCUGACGUUAGCGGCGGACGGGUGAGUAACACGUGGAUAACCUACCUAUAAGACUGGGAUAACUUCGGGAAACCGGAGCUAAUACCGGAUAAUAUAUUGAACCUCAUGGUUCAAUAGUGAAAGACGGUUUUGCUGUCACUUAUAGAUGGAUCCGCGCCGCAUUAGCUAGUUGGUAAGGUAACGGCUUACCAAGGCGACGAUGCGUAGCCGACCUGAGAGGGUGAUCGGCCACACUGGAACUGAGACACGGUCAAGACUCCUACGGGAGGCAGCAGUAGGGAAUCUUCCGCAAUGGGCGAAAGCCUGACGGAGCAACGCCGCGUGAGUGAUGAAGGUCUUCGGAUCGUAAAACUCUGUUAUUAGGGAAGAACAAAUGUGUAAGUAACUAUGCACGUCUUGACGGUACCUAAUCAGAAAGCCACGGCUAACUACGUG